GAUGAACGCUAGCGGCAGGCCUAAUACAUGCAAGUCGUGGGGCAGCAGGUUUGUAGCAAUACAGAUGCUGGCGACCGGCAAACGGGUGCGGAACACGUACAGAACCUUCCUUUGAGCGGGGAAUAGCCCAGAGAAAUUUGGAUUAAUACCCCAUAGUAUAAUGAAGUGGCAUCACUUUAUUAUUAAAGAUUUAUCACUCGAAGAUGGCUGUGCGGCUGAUUAGGUAGUUGGCGGGGUAAAGGCCCACCAAGCCUGCGAUCAGUAACUGGUGUGAGAGCACGACCAGUCACACGGGCACUGAGACACGGGCCCGACUCCUACGGGAGGCAGCAGUAAGGAAUAUUGGUCAAUGGAGGCAACUCUGAACCAGCCAUGCCGCGUGGAGGAUGAAGGUCCUCUGGAUUGUAAACUUCUUUUAUAUGGGACGAAAAAAGGCUUUUCUAAGUCGUCUGACGGUACCAUAUGAAUAAGCACCGGCUA
rnacentral:rRNA from 1 species